rnacentral:lncRNA from 1 species
GCUAUUAUGGAACAGAAACAUUACCUAAAACAUCCAUGCAGAGAAAAUGACAACUAAUAUUUGGCUAUGUGUUCUGUCUUCUUUCCAGAAGUUCUACACGCAGCAAGAAUUAAACCUCAGUGAGCUGGCAGAACCUCUCCCUGAAAACGCAGGUGGCAGAGGAGUAAUGAACAUCAACAACUUGUGUUUCUCCAGAUUGUAAAGCUGAAGGAUUACUUACAUGUACAUUGGUAUGAAAAUAGCUUGGUUUACAAUAGUGAAGUAAAGGAAAGCAAAAUAUGGCUUGGAAGAUAAGGAUAGUCUCUUUAAUAAAUGGUGUUGAGAAAACUGGAUAUCCACAUACAAAAUAAUUAAACGAGACUCUUAUCUUACACUAUACACAAAAAUCAACAUUAUAAGGAUUAAAGACCUAAAUGUAGACCUGAAACCAUAAAACUCUCAGAAUAAAACUCCUUGGCUAGAAAGCUCCUUGAUAUUGGCGUUGGCAAUGAUUUUUUUUGACUGACACACCACACCAAAAGCUCAGGCAACAAAAGCAAAAGUAAGCAAGUAGGAUAAAGUUAAACUAAAUAUGUCUGCACAACAAAGAAAACAAUCCAAAAAAGGCAGCAUAAGGAUUGAUGGAAAACAUUUCUGAAUCAAAUAUCUCAUUAACCAAGGGACUAAAUACAAAAAUAUAUAAGGAACUCGCACAACUCAAUAGCAAAAAGCAAAAACAAACAAACAUUCGAAAAUGGGCAAAGAUCUGAAUAGACGUAUUUCCAAAGAUGUCAUACAAAUGACCAACAGGUAUGUUUAAAAAAUGCUCAACUCUAUCAAUCAUCAGAAAAAUACAAAUCAUAACCACCAUGAAAUAUCACAUCACAUCUAUUAGAAUGGCUGUUAUAAAAAGACAAGAAGUAAGAUGUAGUGAGCAAGGGCGUUGAGAAAAGGGACUCCUUAUAUGCUGUGGACAGAAAUGUAAAUUAUGUUAUUAUGAAAAACUGUAUGGAAGUGCCUCACACAAUCGAAAAUAGAACUACCAUACGACCCAGAAACCCCUCUGCUGGCUAUGUACCCGAAGGAAAUGAAACCAGCAUUCUGUAGAGAUCGCUACAGUCCCAUGUUCAUUCUAACAUCAUUCACAACAGCCAAGGUACAGAACUAACCUGCAUGUUCAUUGAUGAAUGAGGACAUAAAUUGUGGUACACAUAUAUAAUGAAACAUUAUUCAGCUGUACAAAAGAAAAAAAUACUGCCAUUGGUGACAACACAGCUGAAAUUGAUAGACAUUAUGCUAAGUGAAAGAGGCCAAAUACUGCAUGAUCUCAGAAAGACAAAUAUGGCAUGAUCUCAUUCAUAUUUGGAGUCUAAAAAUAAGCUGAAUACAUAGAAACAGAAAAUAAAAUAGAUAGAGCAGUGGUAUAACCAGAAGCAGGGAGGAGAAGGAAAUGAGGAGAAGUAGGUCAAAAUGUGUAAGUUUGCAGUUAUAUAGAAUGAGUAAACUGAGGGACCUAAUGUACUGCAUGAGGACUGUAACUUAAUAAUAUUGUGAAGCAUAAUGAAAAUUUGCUGAGUGUAGACCUUGAGUCCCAUUUCCUCAAAAGAGAAAGUAAUGUUAACUAUGGAAGGUGAGGAAUUUGCUGCUAAUUUGCUUGACUAAUUAUUUCACUAUGUAUAUGUAUACCAAAACCUUAUUCUAUAUAC